rnacentral:rRNA from 1 species
UACGUAGGUGACAAGCGUUGUCCGGAAUUAUUGGGCGUAAAGGGAGCGCAGGCGGUUGGAAUAGUCUGAUGUGAAAGCCCACGGCUUAACCGUGGAAGGUCAUUGGAAACUGGUCGACUUGAGUGCAGAAGAGGGAAGUGGGAUUCCAUGUGUAGCGGUGAAAUGCGUAGAGAUAUGGAGGAACACCAGUGGCGAAGGCGGCUUCCUGGUCUGUAACUGACACUGAGGCGCGAAAGCGUGGGGAGCAAACAGGAUUAGAUACCCG